rnacentral:rRNA from 1 species
GAUCUCAAGUGAAGCGAGACUACCCCCUGAAUUUAAGCAUAUUAUUAAGGGGAGGAAAAGAAAAUAACAAUGAUUCCCCUAGUAACGGCGAGUGAAGCGGGAAGAGCUCAAAUUUGUAAUCUGGCACUUUCAGUGUCCGAGUUGUAAUUUGAAGAAGGUAACUUUGGGAUUGGCUCUUGUCUAUGUUCCUUGGAACAGGACGUCACAGAGGGUGAGAAUCCCGUGCGAUGAGAUGCCCAAUCCUUUGUAAAGUGCUUUCGAAGAGUCGAGUUGUUUGGGAAUGCAGCUCUAAUUGGGUGGUAAAUUCCAUCUAAAGCUAAAUAUUGGCGAGAGACCGAUAGCGAACAAGUACAGUGAUGGAAAGAUGAAAAGAACUUUGAAAAGAGAGUGAAAAAGUACGUGAAAUUGUUGAAAGGGAAGGGCUUGAGAUCAGACUUGGUGUUUUGUGAUUAUCUUUCCUUCUUGGAUUGUGCACUCGCAUUAUACUGGGCCAGCAUCGGUUUGGGUGGUAGGAUAAUGACAUUGGAAUGUGGCUCUACUUCGGUGGAGUGUUAUAGACUUUGUUGAUACUGCCUACCUAGACCGAGGACUGCGUCUUUUGACUAGGAUGCUGGCGUAAUGAUCUUAAGCCGCCCGUCUUGUAACACGGACCAAGGAGUCUAACGUCUAUGCGAGUGUUUGGGUGUAAAACCCGUACGCGUAAUGAAAGUGAACGUAGGUGAGGGCUCUUUUUUGAGUGCAUCAUCGACCGAUCCUGAAGUCUUCGGAUGGAUUUGAGUAAGAGCAUAGCUGUUGGGACCCGAAAGAUGGUGAACUAUGCCUGAAU